rnacentral:rRNA from 1 species
GACGAACGCUGGCGGCGUGCUUAACACAUGCAAGUCGAACGGAAAGGCCCUGCUUUUGUGGGGUGCUCGAGUGGCGAACGGGUGAGUAACACGUGAGUAACCUGCCCUUGACUUUGGGAUAACUUCAGGAAACUGGGGCUAAUACCGGAUAGGAGCUCUUGCUGCAUGGUGGGGGUUGGAAAGUUUCGGCGGUUGGGGAUGGACUCGCGGCUUAUCAGCUUGUUGGUGGGGUAGUGGCUUACCAAGGCUUUGACGGGUAGCCGGCCUGGGAGGGUGACCGGCCACAUUGGGCCUGCGAUACGGCCCAGACUCCUACGGGAGGCAGCAGUGGGGAAUAUUGCACAAUGGGCGGAAGCCUGAUGCAGCAACGCCGCGUGCGGGAUGCCGGCCUUCGGGUUGUAAACCGCUUUCGCCUGUGACGAAGCGUGAGUGACGGUAAUGGGUAAAGAAGCACCGGCUAACUACGUG